AAUUAUCAUCAGGAGUGAUCUUUAAGUAAAGAUCCACCAACCGAGCCUAAAAGCUACGGUGGUUAGUUCCAUUAAACGGAGGAUGUGCCUUGAAAAAGGAAAAAGUGGAACCGCCUG
ncrna:unclassified sequences SAM-I/IV variant riboswitch